rnacentral:rRNA from 1 species
AGUGAACGCUGGCGGUAGGCCUAACACAUGCAAGUCGAACGGCAGCACAGUAAGAGCUUGCUCUUACGGGUGGCGAGUGGCGGACGGGUGAGGAAUACAUCGGAAUCUACUUUUUCGUGGGGGAUAACGUAGGGAAACUUACGCUAUACCGCAUACGACCUACGGGUGAAAGCAAGGGAUCUUCGGACCUUGCGCGAUUGAAUGAGCCGAUGUCGGAUUAGCUAGUUGGCGGGGUAAAGGCCCACCAAGGCGACGAUCCGUAGCUGGUCUGAGAGGAUGAUCAGCCACACUGGAACUGAGACACGGUCCAGACUCCUACGGGAGGCAGCAGUGGGGAAUAUUGGACAAUGGGCGCAAGCCUGAUCCAGCCAUACCGCGUGGGUGAAGAAGGCCUUCGGGUUGUAAAGCCCUUUUGUUGGGAAAGAAAAGCAGCAGGUUAAUACCCCGCUGUUCUGACGGUACCCAAAGAAUAAGCACCGGCUAACUUCGUG